GAGGAGGGGAAGCAGCGGCCCCGAAGUCCCGGGGGGGCCCAAGAGAAGCGCCUGGCGGCGGGAGGCCGAGCCAGCCCUCGCUCCGCCUGGACCGAAGGCGCAGAUGCAGGCAGGACGCUGCUUCCCUGGCCUCCUCAAGGGCCCGCAGGCCAGCCAUGCAGGGCAGAAUCGGGACCCGGGUCCAUCCCUCACGAGGAACCCUGCAAAAUACACUCAGAACUCUGCAUAAAUGAGAGAACUUCCCGUGCCCAGUGAGGGAAGGCAGGAUAACUUUUUGAAAAUGAAAACAAAUGGGAAAUGCUCCUCAUAAUGGAAGAUGUUUGAUAGCAUUAGCCACCCCAAUGGCUCAGGGAGAGGACAGAACCCUGAGGCACCCCACAAGUGAGAGCCCAGGAGUCUGAACACUCAUCCCCCAAUACCACUUUCUGAACACGGCCCAUGAGAAAGGAGCAGAACCACUAUAUAACAGUGUCCUCAGCCCCUCUAGACAGUCCAGAAGGAUGUCAUGGUCGAUGGUAUCAAAAGCUGCUGAGAGAUCCAGCAGAACUAGGAAACAGCUUUCAUCUUUGUCCCUAGCCCACUAAAGAUCAUCGACCAGCACAACGAAGGCAGUUUCAGUCCCAUGGUGAGGCCUGAAUCCCGAUUAGAAGGGAUCCAAAUGGUCCGUAUCCUCCAGAUUUGAAGCUUGAGUCAGUUCAAUCAAUAAAUGCACCAAUAUUAAUAGGAAGGCACAGCGCUCUGCCUGGAAACCAAACAUUAUCCUCUGCAAGGAAGCCUGGGGAGUGCUGGGAACUCGCUCAACAACUGCAUCUGCUGAUUCCUUGAAAUUUCCACAGAUGAAUAUUCACAGAUUUUUAGCUCAAAAUGAUAAAGGCCACAGCGGCAGUCCUGCACACAGGCUGCUGACAUCCCACUGAAAAUGGAAGUUAAGCAAGCUGUGUUCAUAUUUAGACAAUGAAUGUUACAGUGAUUCAGCAAAAGUACUCCAUAUAUAAGAUUUAUGAGUAUCACAAAGAGGAAACAUUCUGAGUUAAAUUGCUUUUUACAUGGGAGUAAGAGAGAGAGCAAUAGCCAUAAUUUCAAACUAAAUGUAUAUAUUCAAUUGUGCUCACUGGAUAUAAGCAGAGAACCUGACACUCCUCUGUGCAUUACAGCACCUGAUAUUAAGGCAAUUAUGAAGUAGCAGCCGCAACACUGCCAAGAGCUACAGGAAUCAUGAACUAGGCAGGGUGUUUAGCUGUCUGAUAGGGG